CCAGCAAGCUAGCUGCAACGCUGGGAUGAGAGACCAGAUUUUCUAAGUCCAAAGCUUUCCUCACAUACUUUUUUUCUUAUUUAAAUAAUUUUGAUUUUAUGACUUCAACCACAACGUAAGCUGCAUAAAAACAGCAAUUUAGUUUGUCUUUUUCUCCACUGUAUCUAGUGUCUAUAACAGCAUUCGUGAUUGAGACGCUCCAUUUCUUGAACAAAUGGACCAUAAAAAGUUAAGUAGCAAGUGGUUCGUUUUCAUCCCGCAAGGAAGUUUUAAUGCUGUUCUUCCCUCUGGCUCCCUCUCAGGUCUCCACUCAGACAGAGAGGGUGGCUGGAUGCCCGAACAUCAGCCAGCACCCAAGGCCAAGGGAAACUCACAUUACCAGGCCUCUUUUCCUGAUAUCUUACUAGAGUCGAGUUGCCACAGCCCACCAGCAUCCCCACCAAGAAGCUUCAUCCUGACACAGAGGGAAGGUCACAACACCGCCCUCUGGGAAAAAAGUAUGAACAUGUUCAAGUACACAGAAAAGGGAAAGGAAGAACACAAUGAACAUUUGUACACCAGCCAGUGAGAUUCAAAAUUUCAAUUCACCAACCAUCAAAAUUGUGUUUAAUCAUUUGAAAGAGAGUUGCCCUUCCAAUAUUUCUGCAUGUAUAUACUAAAAGUAAGGACACUCUUCAAUACAACCAAAGUAAUAUUGUGACAAAAAAUAUCAUUUAAGUUAUUAAAGUAAUUGGAGUAAUAUUGCUCAUAUUAUUUUUAUCUUUUUAAAGCCUAUAGUGUCUGUAGUGAUGCUUCUAUUUCAUUCCUGAAGUGGUAAUUUGUGUCUUCUCUCUUUUUUUCUGAAUAAGUCUAGUUAAAGGUUUAUCAAUUUCAUUGUGUAUUUUUUUUUCAAAGACUCAACUCUCGGUUUCAUUCAUGUUGUUAUUUUGCUGUUGUUUUUCAUUUCAUUGAUUUCUACUUUUAUGUUUAUUAUUUUCUGCUUCUGAUUUUUGGAUUUAAUUUGCAUUUUUUUCUUUCCUAACAUUUUAAGAUGGAAGUUUAAUUCAUUUUUUUAAGCUAUACCUCACAAAUUUUGCUGGUAUUUUUAUUCUUGUUUAGUUCAAAAUAUUCUUAAUCCUCCUUAUAGUUUCUUCUUUGACCCAUGUGUUAUUUAGACAUAUGCUGUUUAAUUCCCAAAUGUUUGAAGAUUUUCCAGAUAUUCUUCUGUUGUUGAUUUCUUACUAAAUUCUGUUGUUAAGCAAAGGAUAAACUUUGUAUGAUUUCAAUCCUUUUAAAAUUUGUUGGGCUUCCCUGGUGGCACUGUGGUUAAGAAUCCACCUGCCAAGGCAGGGGACAUGGGUUCAAGCCCUAGUCCAGGAAGAUCCCACAUGCCGCGGAGCAAUUAAGCCCAUGCGCCACGACUACUGAGCCUGUGCUCUAGAGCCCACGAGCCACAACUACUGAAGCCCAUGUGCCUAGAGCCUGUGCUCUGCAAGAGAAGCCACGGCAAUGAGAAGCCCAUGCACUGA